GCGAGCUGAUCUCACUCACCGUCAGACACCAUGGAGCUGGGAAGCAGAUAACGACUCAGUGGCAAAUGUCCUUCCCCUGAGUGUUAUUCUACAUACGGGAGGCAUGGCACAAAAAUGCCCACUUCCAG